rnacentral:rRNA from 1 species
UACGUAGGGUGCGAGCGUUGUCCGGAAUUAUUGGGCGUAAAGAGCUUGUAGGCGGUUUGUCGCGUCUGCCGUGAAAUUUCGAGGCUCAACCUCGAACUUGCGGUGGGUACGGGCAGACUAGAGUGUGGUAGGGAGACUGGAAUUCUGGUGUAGCGGUGAAAUGCGCAGAUAUCAGGAGGAACACCGAUGGCGAAGGCAGGUCUCUGGGCCACUACUGACGCUGAGAAGCGAAAGCAUGGGGAGCGAACAGG